GAUGAACGCUGGCGGCGUGCCUAAUACAUGCAAGUCGAGCGAACAGAUGAGGAGCUUGCUCCUCUGACGUUAGCGGCUGACGGGUGAGUAACACGUGGAUAACCUACCUAUAAGACUGGGAUAACUUCGGGAAACCGGAGCUAAUACCGGAUAAUAUAUUGAACCGCAUGGUUCAAUAGUGAAAGACGGUUUUGCUGUCUCUUAUAGAUGGAUCCGCGCCGCAUUAGCUAGUUGGUAAGGUAACGGCUUACCAAGGCGACGAUGCGUAGCCGACCUGAGAGGGUGAUCGGCCACACUGGAACUGAGACACGGUCCAGACUCCUACGGGAGGCAGCAGUAGGGAAUCUUCCGCAAUGGGCGAAAGCCUGACGGAGCAACGCCGCGUGAGUGAUGAAGGUCUUCGGAUCGUAAAACUCUGUUAUUAGGGAAGAACAAAUGUGUAAGUAACUAUGCACGUCUUGACGGUACCUAAUCAGAAAGCCACGGCUAACUACGUG
rnacentral:rRNA from 1 species